AACGAACGCUGGCGGCAGGCUUAACACAUGCAAGUCGAACGAAGUCUUCGGACUUAGUGGCGGACGGGUGAGUAACACGUGGGAACGUGCCUUUAGGUUCGGAAUAACUCAGGGAAACUUGUGCUAAUACCGAAUGUGCCCUUCGGGGGAAAAAUUUAUCGCCUUUAGAGCGGCCCGCGUCUGAUUAGCUAGUUGGUGAGGUAAAGGCUCACCAAGGCGACGAUCAGUAGCUGGUCUGAGAGGAUGAUCAGCCACAUUGGGACUGAGACACGGCCCAAACUCCUACGGGAGGCAGCAGUGGGGAAUCUUGCGCAAUGGGCGAAAGCCUGACGCAGCCAUGCCGCGUGAAUGAUGAAGGUCUUAGGAUUGUAAAAUUCUUUCCCCGGGGACGAUAAUGACGGUACCCGGAGAAGAAGCCCCGGCUAACUUCGUGCCAGCCGCCGCGGUAAAAC
rnacentral:rRNA from 1 species